GAAUUUUAUAAGUGAGGUUAUUGUGGAUAAGAUUUAUUUAAAAGUAAAAUAAUUUUAUUUAUUUAGUUGGGAGGAUUGUUAAAUUUGAUUAACUUUAAUUUGAAGAAAGAUAUUAAUUAGUAGGAGAAGGAAUUAAUUGAUGGGUGAUUUAGUUAAAAUUAAGAAAGAAAUAAUUACCUUAGGGAUAACAGCGUAAUAUUUUUAGAAAGAUCAUAUAGAUAAAAAUGAUUGC
rnacentral:rRNA from 1 species